rnacentral:tRNA from 1 species
GCGGCAUUAGUUCAGUUUGGUAGAACGUCUCCUUGCCAUGGAGAAGGUCAUCGGUUCGAAUCCGAUAUGCCGCU